GACUGGUCCGAUGUAGUGAGUUUCAUCAAUUGAUAUUUCUCAGUCAGUUCACUUCAAUCCCAGUUUGUUUCCCCUACCUGCUCACUACGUGACUUGACCAGUUUUUU
ensembl:Y_RNA Y_RNA Y RNA